GGCACUUUGAACAUAUUAGUUAGGGUGAAUAAAGGACCUCUUGCCAAUCCAAUUUGGAAUGUGACUGGAUUCACGGGUAGAGAUUGGCUUCGGGCUGAGCUAGCAGUGAGCACCUUUUGGCCCAAUGAAUAUCAGGUAAUAUUUGAAGCUGAAGUCUCAGGAGGGAGAAGUGGUUAUAUUGCCAUUGAUGACAUCCAAGUACUGAGUUAUCCUUGUGAUAAAUCUCCUCAUUUCCUCCGUCUAGGGGAUGUAGAGGUGAAUGCAGGGCAAAACGCUACAUUUCAGUGCAUUGCCACAGGGAGAGAUGCUGUGCAUAACAAGUUAUGGCUCCAGAUUUUCAGACUGUGAUUGACAGAAGGUAACUGCAACUGCCCAAAGUGCGACCUUGGAUAAGGAAGGAUGUCUGUAUUCCUGAGGAACGUUCAAUGAUACGGAAUUUGUGAUUCAUAACUUGAAGCUAUGAUAAAGCUCUACUUAUGGGAAAUAAGAUCAAAAGUGAAAUUAUAACAUAUAAUUUAUACUGAAAUGAAAUAAUAAAAAGCAUUUGGUUAUAUUCUU
rnacentral:lncRNA from 10 species